UACGAAGGGGGCUAGCGUUGCUCGGAAUUACUGGGCGUAAAGGGCGCGUAGGCGGACAGUUUAGUCAGAGGUGAAAGCCCAGGGCUCAACCCUGGAAUUGCCUUUGAUACUGACUGUCUUGAGGUACGGGAGAGGUGUGUGGAACUCCGAGUGUAGAGGUGAAAUUCGUAGAUAUUCGGAAGAACACCAGUGGCGAAGGCGACACACUGGCCCGUUACUGACGCUGAGGCGCGAAAGCGUGGGGAGCAAACAGG
rnacentral:rRNA from 1 species